UAGUUGAAUGCAUGUUAUACGAGGGCGCGUGUUAUUUUAUGGGGGAGAAAAAAGUAUCAAAGUUUCGCGAGUAGCUUUUACAAGUAGUGAUUUUACGAGUGAAAACGUUGGUGGAAGUAAGAUAUCAUAAUGUCAAAUAAGAGAAUAUACGAAACUAGACGCAGAAAAAAAGCAGAAGGUUAAUAGCAAAGCGAAGUUAUGUCAAAAGGCUAUGUAGUAUAAAAGAAUGCGUAAUGGCCGAUGAAGUUUCUAUAUCGAAUCCUCAAUACAGAGAAAUUGGCUCAAAUACUUUAGAUAUAACGCCAUGCAAGAGUACUCCACCACAUAUGGACAGUCAGGCUGUGGAGAAAAGCGAAUAUGCAGUGUCUCAAAAUGAUAAUACAGUUACUCCUACAAUUAAGACAGAAGGACGAAAGAGGAAAACUGGAAAAUCAUGAGGGAAGCUGGUGCAGAAGAAGCGAAGCUUGCUAGAGAAAAUGGCGAGGUGGAUAAAGAUGGAGUUCUAGAAAUAACUGUCAUAGCCGAUGGAGCUUGGUGCAAACGAUCCUAACGCUCAGCUUAUAAUGCUCCUUCUGGGGCAGGUUGCAUUGUUGGCCAGAGAACAGGAAAGUUGCUAUUUUUGGGUAUAAGAAAUAAGUUUUGCGCCAUCUGUCAAGUAAAUCCUUCUCACGAUCAUCUAUGCUUUAAGAACUGGUCUAGUACAUGAACAUCUAUGGAAAGCGAUAUCAUACUUGAAGGAUUCAAACGAAGCAUAGAGAUGCAUGGCAUAAAAUACUCAUAUCUAGUCGGCGAUGGUGAAGCCGUGUUUUCAAAAAACUUUAAACGAAAGAUCAUAUGGAAAUUUUGUCAUUUAGAAAAUCGAAUGUUCCAAUCACCUACUUAGAAAUUACUGCAAUAAUCUCAAGCAGCUAGCCACUAAAAAAUUUAGUUCGAAAGGUUUACCUAUUAGUAAUAGUUUAAAAACAUCUUUGAAGAAUAACAUCCAAAGAUUAAGAGUUGCUAUAGAACAGACAUUUAAAACAGUAUUUCCCAUGUAUUUGGUGAUCACUCAAAAUGCGCUCAAUAUUUUUGCAAUGGAGAAAAGCCGAAAGAGAAUAACCUCAUUUCAAGCAUGAAAGACUGCGGAUUAUAUAAUGAUAUUAUGUCUGAUGCAAAUCGGCUUAUAUUUAACAGUAGAAGCUUGAUAAAGAAUAUGACAAAUAAUAACGCCGAAACUUCAACAGUGUUAUAGCAAAAUUUAUUUCAGGAAAAAGAAUUAACUUUGCCAAGAGAGGUGGAUACUCGCUACGUUGUCAGUCUGCUGGUAUUAGUUUUAACAAAGGAACAGAUUAUUAUCAUAUUUUACACAGCGCCCUAACAAGUAAGAGUUUAAGAAAUAAUACUAAAAUAUAACUAAAAUAUUGCUGGUAAAAAAAAAGUUGCUACUCGAAAUUUGAGAAAAAGGAAGUUAUUUGGUCAAAGAAACCAAAGCAAAACAUACACGAAAAAGAAUAAUUACCAGGAAGCUGACGAUGAUUAUGGGGAUGUUGAGGCUUUGAUUGGCGAUGAAAAGUGGGAACAACAAAAACAUGAAUUUUUAAAUGGGCUAAAAAAAGAUAAAAUAGAGAUUAACGGGAUUAUGGAAGCAACGAAGGAACAGAGAGAUUCUGCAGUUUGGAUGGAAAAGAGACGAAAAAGAAUAACGGCAUCGGCUUUUGGCAAAAUUUGUAAGUUAAAAUCUACGACUGAUCCAAAAAAAACUGCACAAUCAAUGCUAAAGAGUUUUACGGCCUCAAGUACUUCUUAUGGUAUAUAUCAUGAACCAAUAGCUCCUAGGAAGUUCGCAGAAUUUUUAAAAAUAGAAAUACAUCCAUCAGGAUUUUUUUGUGGAUGAAAACGAUUUUUAUCUUGGGGCUAUACCGGAUGGACUUGUAGAGCAGAACGGUUUUGUGGAAAUUAAGUGUCCGUAUAGCUGCCGGGACUUAACGCCAAUAAAUGCAAUCCAAACAAAAAAGCUUGUGUACAUGGAACCUGGACAAAAUGAUAAAUUUAGUUUAAAAAAAAAUCAUAAUUACUUCUACCAAGUUCCGGGGCAGCUACACGUAACAAAAAGGGGCUUGCUGUUGUAUGGACACCGAAG
rnacentral:lncRNA from 1 species